CGGGGUGUAGCGCAGUCUGGUAGCGCGCCUGCUUUGGGAGCAGGAUGUCGGGGGUUCAAAUCCCUUCACCCCGACCA
rnacentral:tRNA from 1 species